rnacentral:lncRNA from 1 species
GAAACUAUGUCCCGAGAUGUGGCUAGGUUGAAUGUAGGUCUUGAGAAAUUAGAUACGGAUGUGGAAUCAAUGAGUGGGAGAUUAGAACGUGUGGAAAGCCAAAGGAGUCGACCUUCUACCCCUCAAAACAUUUCCCCAACUAAUACUCCCGAGACCUUGCACCAAAUGCAAUAUACACCAAUUGCCAUAAAUCAAACCAAUCUUUACUCGUGAAGCCAAGAACAAGAUAGACCAAGCCAUCCUCCA